GAUGAAGAACGUAGCGAAAUGCGAUAAGUAAUGUGAAUUGCAGAAUUCAGUGAAUCAUCGAAUCUUUGAACGCAUCUUGCGCUCCUUGGUAUUCUGAGGAGCAUGCCUGUUUGAGUGUCAUUAAAUUCUCAACUACACUGACUUUGAAUUGGUGUGGCUUGGAUUUGGGGGGAAAAUUGUUGUGGGCUUUUUAUAUAGUCUGCUCCCCUGAAAUUGAUUAGCGGUACCUUUGUGGAACUGUCUACAGGUGUGAUAAUUAUCUACAUCUUAGACAUCUGCUGGAAUGCUGCUUUCUAAACCUUACUUGUAUUGACAAUCUUGACCUCAAAUCAGGUAGGACUACCCGCUGAACUUAAGCAUAUCAAUAAGCGGAGGA
rnacentral:misc_RNA from 1 species